CUUUUCGAGACAGGGAGACAUUCUAUCUACAAUUUGAUUGAUCGAUUGUUGCGAUUGCUUCUAACUCUUCCAGUUUCUACAGCAAGUGCCGAGCGAGCAUUCUCAACCUUAAAGAUCAUUAAGACAAGGCUACGUAAUACCAUGGAAGAUGAUUAUCUAGCCAAUAGCUUGCUAGUAAAAAUAGAGAGUGAAAUCACGGAGAAGUACAGCUAUGAAGAUGUUCUUAUGCACUUUAAGGGUGCAAAGAAACGAAAAGCUAAUCUGUAG
rnacentral:rRNA from 1 species